rnacentral:rRNA from 1 species
UACGUAGGCAGCGAGCGUUGUUCGGAGUUACUGGGCGUAAAGGGUGUGUAGGCGGUUCUUUAAGUUUGAUGUGAAAUCUCCCGGCUCAACCGGGAGGGUGCGCCGAAUACUGAGGGACUAGAGUAUGGGAUGGGAAAGUGGAAUUCCUGGUGUAGCGGUGAAAUGCGUAGAUAUCAGGAGGAACACCUGUGGUGUAGACGGCUUUCUGGACCAUAACUGACGCUGAGACACGAAAGCGUGGGUAGCAAACAGG